GACGAACGCUGGCGGCGUGCUUAACACAUGCAAGUCGAACGGAAAGGCCCUGCUUUUGUGGGGUGCUCGAGUGGCGAACGGGUGAGUAACACGUGAGUAACCUGCCCUUGUCUGUGUGAUAACUUCAGGAAACUGGGGCUCAUACCGGAUAGGAUCUCCUGCUGCAUGGUGUUGGUUGGAAAGUUUCGGCGGUUGGGGAUGGACUCGCGGCUUAUCAGCUUGUUGGGGGGGUAGUGGCUGACCAAGGCUUUGACGGGUAGCCGGCCUGAGAGGGUGAACGGCGACAAGGGGACUGAGAUACGGCGCAGAAUCGUACGGGAGGCAGUAGUGGGGAAUAUUGCACAAUGGGGGGAAGCGUGAUGCAGAAACGCUGCGUGCGGGAUGACGGGUUUCUGGUGGUAAACAGCUUUCGCAUGUGCCGAAGAGUGAGUGACGGUAAUGGGUAAAGAAGCACCGGCUAACUACGUG
rnacentral:rRNA from 1 species